rnacentral:sRNA from 1 species
GCUGGGUGUGGUGGCACAUGCCUAUAAUCCCAGUGACUCGAGAGGCUGAGGCAGGAGGAUCACAAGUUGGAGGCCAGCCUCAGCAACUUAGUGAGACCCUGUCUCAA